GAUGAACGCUAGCGGCAGGCUUAAUACAUGCAAGUCGUGGGGCAGCAGGUUUGUAGCAAUACAGAUGCUGGCGACCGGCAAACGGGUGCGUAACACGUACGCAACUUGCCCUUUACUGGGGAAUAGCCCGGGGAAACUCGGAUUAAUACCCCAUAUUAUAUGGAACAGGCAUCUUUUUCAUAUCAAAGCUUCGGCGGUAAAGGAUGGGCGUGCGGUUGAUUAGAUAGUUGGCGGGGUAACGGCCCACCAA
rnacentral:rRNA from 1 species